GUUGCAACAUUAUGUGGAGCUUGAGGAGUUAGUUCACCUUGCAAUUAAGGUGGAAAAGCAACUAAAACCUAGAGGGACAACAAGGUUUGAAUAUAAGGGCACUUCGAGUGGGAGGCCACAUUGGUCUAAUUCUUGGAAAGGAGGUAAGAAAGGUGAUGAUAAGGUUAUUCCCAAUGACAACAAAGGGAAAAGCAUUUCAGGCAACAAAGACACAUCUAAACCAGAAAUUAACAAAGAAAAGAAUAGAGACAUCAAGUGUUUCAAAUGCUUGGGGCGUGG
rnacentral:lncRNA from 1 species